rnacentral:lncRNA from 1 species
GGGGGGGGGUUGUAUCACAAAAACAGAAACAAUUUGCAAGUCUCUGAAGCUCAAGACGUUUUUCAGAAAUCUUCCUAUGAGCAUGGGGAGUGGGUUUCUUCAACAUUACUAGGUAAGUCCAAAUAUUUCCCAUAGUGGCCAUACCAACACAUUUGGCAUCAGCAGAGAUGUGAACAAAUGCUAUUGAAUAUUGUCAAAUAUUUGAAAAGCAUCAGUUUGAUAAGCACAGAAUGGUAUCUUGCUAUGGUCCUUAUUUUUUCCUGAAUCCCCUUGUCACUAAGCCUAUUUUCAUAUGUUGAUCAUUGGCCAUUCGAUUUGCUUUUAAAAACAAAGUGCCUCCUUUUCUAUUGGAUUAUUAAAUUUUUAAUGAAAAAUUUUAUUGCAUGAAAUGCAGAGCUUGUGCAGUUUGAUUCAUUUUUCCAAUGUUUACACUCUUAUAAUUCACACCACUAUCAAUGUAGAGAACAUUGAAAAAGUCUUUGUCUUCUUCCUCAGUUGAUCCCCCAUCUCAGCAGUAACCACUGAUCUGACUUCUGUCAUCAUUAAUUUUACCUAUUUAGGUCUUUCAAAUAAGUGGAAUCAUCAUAUGGUGUGUACUUUUUUAUGCUUGGCUUUUUCCACACAGCAAAAUGUUCUUGAGAUUCAUUAGUGCUGUUGUAUCUCUUAGAGAAUAAUUCUUUUUUAUUGCUAAGUAGUCUGUUUAUCCAUAUUCCUGUUAAUGGACAUCUGGACUGCUUCCAGUUUUAGCUAGGAUGAAGAGUUUCUAGCAACAUUCUGUUCAAGCUUUUGAUAGAUAAUAAGUGUUUUAAUAUCCUCCCUUGCCAAUUCUAACUUCAGGGUUAGUUCUGGAUUACUUUCCUUUGACCAGUUAGUCUCUGCCGAUGGGUGUUUUCUUGUCUCUUUGCAUACCUGGUACUCUUGAUUGAAUGCCAGACCUUAUGAAUGUCACCUUGCUGAGUGAGGGACAAUUCAUAUUGUUUGCCUUGAGUUUUGUUCUACUACGCAGUUAAGACCCAAAAGGAGAAAAACAUUCCAAGUAACUUACUUUCAUGAUUUAUUAGAUAGGCCUGGACCUAAGUCUGCCUAGUCUAGGCUAAUUAUUCCUCUGUACUGAGACAAGUUCUUCCUGAGUACUUUUCCCAAGGCCCCAUGAAUUGAGUUUUUCCAGUUGGGUUGGUGGGAACAUUGUUGCCAGUCCUGCAUGAGAACAAGUUGCUAUUCCCUCUAAUUCUCUUAACUAUUCUUUACCAAACCUCCUCAUGGGAAAGAAAUUUCUCUUUCCUUUCCUCAUAUAUGUGCUAAAUACUUAAGGGAGACCUUCUUUAUACCCCAGGUUUUUCUCUGUGCUAGUCACCUCUCUGGUUCUCUACUUAUGACUCCAGCUGCCUUGGUCUCCCUAGAUGCUAAACUCUAUCUCCUCGACUCAGGGAGCCUGACUCAGUUACCCCUCCUUGCAGCGUAGCCUAGAAACACUUUUAGACGAUAAGCUGACAAAGUAGAGGGCUAAUUUUGUCCAUUUCCCACCUCUCAGAGAUCACUUCCCCUCACUGCCUGAAAACUGUUAUUUCAUGUAUUUUAUUUCAUGUAUUUUGAAUGGUCCCUGUCAUUCUACUCUGACCAGACAGCACCAGUAUUUUGAACUGUAUGUUUGUCUGUCGCUCUGGGAGGAUUUUACUCUUGAGGGUAGGGGAUUAUUAUUACAUUCAAGCUAACUAUGCCUUUCUUGUCUUUUUAUUAUUAUUAUUAUUAAAGUAUAGUUCAUUUACAACGUUCUGUCAAUUUUUGCUGUACAGCAAGGUGACCCAGUCAUAUAUAUAUAUGUAUAUAUAUAUAUAUACACACACACAAACACACACAUUCUUUUUCUCAUAUUAUCUUCCAUCAUGUUCUAUGACAAGGACUGGAUAUAGUUCCCUGUGCUAUAUAGCAGGACCACAUUGUUUAUCCAUUCUAAGUGUAAUAAUUUGCACCUACUAACCCCAAACUCCCAGGCCAUCCCACUACUGUAAUCCCCCUUGGCAACCACAAGUCUGCUUCCCAUGUCUAUGAGCCUGUUUCUGUUCUGCAGAUAGGUUCAUUUGGGCUAUAUUUUAGAUUCCACAUACAAGUAAUAUCCUAUGGUAUUUGUCUUUCUCUUUCUGAUUUCUUUCACUUAGUAUGAGAAUCUCUAGUUGCAUCCAUGUUGCUGACAGUGGCAUUAUUUAAUUCUUUUUUAUGCUUGAGUAGUAUUCCAUUGUGUAUAUGUACCAUAUCUUCCUAAUCCAGUCAUCUGUAGUCAUCUGGAUAUUUAGGUUGUUUCCAUGUCUUAGCUAUUGUGAAUAGUGCUGCUAUGAACGUACAGGUGCAUGUAUCUUUUUGAAUUGGAGUUUUGUCCAGGAGUGGGAUUGCUGGAUCAUGUGGUAGUUCUAUAUUUAGUUUUCUGAGCUACCUCCAUACUGUUUUCCAAAGUGGUUGUACCAAUUUAUAUUCCCACCAACAGUGUAGGAGUGUUCCCUUUACUGCACACCCUAUCCAGCAUUCGUUAUUUGUAGACAUAUUAACGAUGGCUGCUCAAGUUUGAGGAUUGUUUCCAGGGGUUCUCUGUACUCUCUGACUAGGUGAAUCAGGAAGACAUCCUGUUCAGCAUCUGCCAGCCUGAGUUUUUGUUCUGGUCCCUAUUGAGGUUUAGGGCCUUGGCAGGGGCGCAUUAGUUAACAAGAGGAAAUGAGAUCAAUUCUCAUUAAAGCUGGGCGCAUGUUGAGAGUUAACCUUUUUUUUUUUUUUUGAGAUAUCAACCUAUCUGAAUACCUGAGUGUUUAAUAAAUGUCUUUACAUAAAAUUGGCUUGCACAUACCACAAUAGUGUUGGCUGUGGUUCUGCCCAAUAUAAGAUGAAUGUUCCAAGAUGGGCAGGCUGGUUAAUUGGGAGAUUGUCUUCCAGGUAGGAUUUGUUUGAGGGGAGAUCCAUGUUCUGCUGCAGAGUAGCUCUCAAGAAAAUCUUCCUAGACAUAAGCCAGCUGAGACAGGCUUGCUUUAUAAAGUGACUUAAGGCAUUUUGAGCACGUUCAGAACUCCAGCAGCUCUUUAAAGUUCUGCCUCCAGGCCCCAAAUCCCUGAAUAUCUCCCAUGUCUGCUCCAACUGUUCAAUCCUGCUCAUUUCAUUAUGGCAAUGUUAGAAAUAUGGUGCCAUUUGCCAUUUAUAUCUUGAGCUAAACCAAUGAAAUUAAAAUCCUAAAGCAUUGCAUUUAAGUUUUUGGUAUUAAAACAAGAAGGAUAAUGCAGAGCAGUUUCAUUAAGUUAGAAAGAAAAGAAAAUCACAGUGCUAUUGCAGCAUUUAGAACUCCUAGAAACAUAUUUUUCUUUAAAACAAAUCCUUUAUAAUCUCCCCUUAUAACUCUCAACAUAAAACUGGUUCUUUCUUCAAAGUGAAAAACAUUUACAUCUUAUUUUUCUUCAUCUGAAAAUAAUUUUCUAAAUGUGGAUUCUCCCAAGGAUAUUUGAGAUCCAGGUUGAUAGCAAACACAGGGCAUCAGCAUCACUGGUUUUUCAGUCACAUGGUUCUGAGAUGUCCCUAGAAGAGGAAUGUGGUUCCAAGGGCUGCAGAGAAAGAGCAGCCCAUAGACUAAUUGGCAGGUGGUGGAAGCACCAGCAGCCAAACGAAUUAUAAGGAGUCUGCUGUGUCCUAACAGGCCUAAAGAUUUCCUGCAGACCCAAGAGGGAGGUGAAGGCUGCAUGUGGAGUAGGUCAGUCUGGAAGCCAGCUACUUGAAAGAAUGAAGGUUUUCAGUACAAAUAAAAAAAGCAAAUAGAGGAAAACGGAAAUCAAGUAUAAACUCUAUCUGAUUCUCUGACCAGGGGAAAAGAGUAUCACUGAACACUAUACCAGUAAGGAAUCUUUCCCAUUUGCUACAAAUUUAUAAAAAUUACCUUCCUUUGGCUCAUCAUUUGUUACUAUUGACCCUUCUUUCAACAAAUUAAUCUUCAUAUCUGUACAAGGAGAUUUGCCUUCAUGCUGUGGACUACCUGCAUUUCUUUAUAUCAUUUCUUCAUAUUCAAAAUGAUGAUGAAGUAUUUUAUACUUUAAAUACCUUUCAUGCUUCCAUACAUUUAUAUCAUUAAACUAUCAUAGCAACCAUAAGAAACCUCUCAAAGUGAAGAUUAAAGUUUGAGUAUUAAAUUUUUCUAAUAAUAACAUUUUAAUUUUUAUUUAGGAAAGGCGAUGUAAAAAAGUUUUAAAUUUUAAACAAAUUUUUGAAAAAGACAAAUAGCUGCAAAUCUGUCACCUACUUAUUUGACUCCAUUAGCAAUGGGCAAUUAAAUUUCUCUAAAAGAAAGAAGGACAGAGAAAAGAGAGGCUCAGGCAUGUGAGCAAUCUCUCUGCCUGCUUUUCUAGGUUUUCUUUCUAUUUUUAUUUUGCAAGUCUAUGAGAUUUUUCCUCAAAACUUUUUGUCCCAAUUUAUUUUAUUUUAUAUGUAUGUAGAAACGUAUCAUCCUAUUCUUUCUUCUGCCCCAAGUAGAAAAUACUUUUUCAUUUUCUUUGUAUUCUCUAACACAAUUCUUUCUUAAUGUGCCAAAUAUUAACCUUACAUGAAUUAUUUCAUUUAAUCUACACACAAGCCCAUCAGAUAAGUAUUAUUAUCCUAAUUUUACAGGAGACAAAACUGAGGAAAUAAGAAAGCAAGUGCCAGUUGCACACAGUCACAUAGAGUGAAUUCCUCAUCUGAAACUCAGUAGCCUGACUCAAAAGUCUAUAUUGUUAAAAUAGCACACUAAAACCUGAAAUUUUUCACGUGAGUGGCCAAGAUGGUGGAUUAGGAAAACCCUGCACCCAUCUCCUUCCACAGGCACAGCAAAAUUACAACUUUCACAGAGCAACUUUCAGUGAGAAUGACCUUAAGACUAGAAGAAACCAAGGAACCACAACAAGACAGUUUGGAGGGGUAGAGAUGUAGUAUAGCAACAAAUCACAGUCCUUGACACAGUAUGGUCAGGACCUGAAUACCCAGUAGAGGACCACCAAAAGAGAAGGUAAUGAAAAAUGCAGAAGUUCUC